rnacentral:rRNA from 1 species
AGUGAACGCUGGCGGUAGGCCUAACACAUGCAAGUCGAACGGCAGCACAGUAAGAGCUUGCUCUUACGGGUGGCGAGUGGCGGACGGGUGAGGAAUACAUCGGAAUCUACUUUUUCGUGGGGGAUAACGUAGGGAAACUUACGCUAAUACCGCAUACGACCUACGGGUGAAAGCAGGGGAUCUUCGGACCUUGCGCGAUUGAAUGAGCCGAUGUCGGAUUAGCUAGUUGGCGGGGUAAAGGCCCACCAAGGCGACGAUCCGUUGCUGGUCUGAGAGGAUGAUCAGCCACACUGGAGCUGAGACACGGUCCAGACUCCUACGGGAGGCACCAGUGGGGAAUAUUGGACAAUGGGCGCAAGACUGAUCCAGCCAUACCGCGUGGGUGAAGAAGGCCUUCGGGUUGUAAAGCCCUUUUGUUGGGAAAGAAAAGCAGCAGGUUAAUACCCCGCUGUUCUGACGGUACCCAAAGAAUAAGCACCGGCUAACUUCGUG